AUUGAGUAUGUUUUGUUAGGUGGAAUUGCGGAAGGAUCAUAG
rnacentral:rRNA from 1 species